GAUGAAGAACGUAGCGAAAUGCGAUAAGUAAUGCGAAUUGCAGAAUUCCGUGAGUCAUCGAAUCUUUGAACGCACAUUGCGCCCUCUGGUAUUCCGGAGGGCAGGCCUGUCUGAGCGUCAUUGUCAACCCUCAAGCUCAGCUUGCUGUUGGGUCCCCGUCGUUGCUUUAACGGCGGACCCGAAAGGUAAUGGCAGAGUCCGUGAGACCCUAGACGCAGCGAGCUUCUAGCACGCGUCUGGACGUUUUUCGGGCUCGGUCUUAACUAGAUGAUAACUUCCGAUUGACCUCAGAUCAGGUAGGGAUACCCGCUGAACUUAAGCAUAUCAAUAAGCGGAGGA
rnacentral:misc_RNA from 1 species